GCAGAACAGGAUUCCACGCCUAAAGGGUAUGCUUCAGAGCAUAUCUCAGCAAUUACACACGAUACUGGUGUAGGAUGUCUGCCAUGCAUUGGGAAGCCCGGCGCCGGCAGGCCAUGGUUGACCGCAGAAUGUCCAGAGCCAAGCAGCAGAUGGCAAAGGACCCUCCGGAGCAAAGCUCAAAGCCAGAGGCAGAGGCUAAGGCACCGACUCAACAGCCAGGUACCAUCGAAAUGUGCAUUCUAUUAGGUAUGGCCAAAAAGGGUCAAUAUUACACAAAACAAGAUUUAUAACAAGGCAGACAUGCUCAUGUAAAUAUGCUUCAUAAAUUAGUCUUCCUCCUGAUUUUUAUUUAGGCAAAGGGAAUCAGUUUCUGUUUAA
rnacentral:lncRNA from 1 species